rnacentral:misc_RNA from 1 species
AACGCACAUUGCGCCCCUUGGUAUUCCGAGGGGCAUGCCUGUCCGAGCGUCAUGACGCCCCCCUCAAGCCUGGCUUGGUGUUGGGCCCCGCCGUGGGAGACCCCCGCGGCGGGCCUCAAAGGCAGCGGCGGCGCCGUCGAGAGCCCUGAGCGCAGUAGCAUCUCCCUCGCUACAGCGGCUCCGGCGGUCGCUGGCCAUGAACCCCCCACACACCGCAGCUUGACCUCGGAUCAGGUAGGGAUACCCGCUGAACUUAA